CAAUGACGGUGGCAGGCGGGGCCGGCAAGGGGCCGUCUCCCCUUCUCACCCCUUCCUCUGCUGGGACCCGGGGGUCCCCGAGACGAGGAGAAAGGUCUCCCUCCCUGCCCGGGACCCGAGAGCCCUUGAGCACCGAGGGGACUGACGCACAGAUGGGGGACAGCGAGACAACGACCAGAUGAGCAGGGGAGGGACAUAGCAAGAACACACUACCUCUCGUCGCGUGGUUUGAGGAUUCCAUGAAUCAAUAAUGAGACAAUGACUGGCACAUCUCGGUACCCCAAGGAGAAAUGGGGUCUAGGAGGUUUUCCCUGUGGUCUGAGCCCAGGAUGGGAAGGAGGUGGCUGCCUGAUCACACCACGGACACCAUGCUGCCGAGUCAAGCCGACUUCCUCAGUUGUCGCUGUCCUCGACCUCUGUGUAGCAUCUGACACCUUUGCCUACUUCCUCCUUGGUGUCAGGACACUACACUUAGUUGUCUCUCCUUCUCAGUCUUCUUUGUGAGACUGAGACAGCUUCUGCCUCUCAAGUGCUAUCCUCGGCAGGCUGGUUAGCUCAGUUGGUUAGAGCACAGUGUUACAACACCAAGGUCAAGAAUUAGGAUCCCCAGACUUGCCAGCUGCCAUAAUAAUAAUAA